rnacentral:rRNA from 1 species
AGUGAACGCUGGCGGUAGGCCUAACACAUGCAAGUCGAACGGCAGCACAGUAAGAGCUUGCUCUUACGGGUGGCGAGUGGCGGACGGGUGAGGAAUACAUCGGAAUCUACUUUUUCGUGGGGGAUAACGUAGGGAAACUUACGCUAAUACCGCAUACGACCUACGGGUGAAAGCAGGGGAUCUUCGGACCUUGCGCGAUUGAAUGAGCCGAUGUCGGAUUAGCUAGUUGGCGGGGUAAAGGCCCACCAAGGCGACGAUCCGUAGCUGGUCUGAGAGGAUGAUCAGCCACACUGGAACUGAGACACGGUCCAGACUCCUACGGGAGGAAGCAGUGGGGAAUAUUGGACAAAGGGCGCAAGCCUGAUCCAGCCAUACCGCGUGGGUGAAGAAGGCGUUCGGGUUGUAAAGCCCUUUUGUUGGGAAAGAAAAGCAGCAGGUUAAUAUCCCGCUGUUCUGACGGUACCCAAAGAAUAAGCACCGGCUAACUUCGUG